rnacentral:rRNA from 1 species
UUCGAGCGAACGGAUAAGGAGCUUGCUCCUUUGAAGUUAGCGGCGGACGGGUGAGUAACACGUGGGUAACCUACCUAUAAGACUGGAAUAACUUCGGGAAACCGGAGCUAAUGCCGGAUAACAUAUAGAACCGCAUGGUUCUAUAGUGAAAGAUGGUUUUGCUAUCACUUAUAGAUGGACCCGCGCCGUAUUAGCUAGUUGGUAAGGUAAAGGCUUACCAAGGCGACGAUACGUAGCCGACCUGAGAGGGUGAUCGGCCACACUGGAACUGAGACACGGUCCAGACUCCUACGGGAGGCAGCAGUAGGGAAUCUUCCGCAAUGGGCGAAAGCCUGACGGAGCAACGCCGCGUGAGUGAUGAAGGUUUUCGGAUCGUAAAACUCUGUUAUUAGGGAAGAACAAAUGCGUAAGUAACUGUGCGCAUCUUGACGGUACCUAAUCAGAAAGCCACGGCUAACUACGUGCCAGCAGCCGCGGUAAUACGUAGGUGGCAAGCGUUAUCCGGAAUUAUUGGGCGUAAAGCGCGCGUAGGCGGUUUCUUAAGUCUGAUGUGAAAGCCCACGGCUCACCGUGGAGGGUCAUUGGAAACUGGGAAACUUGAGUGCAGAAGAGGAAAGUGGAAUUCCAUGUGUAGCGGUGAAAUGCGCAAAGAUAUGGAGGA